GGACCCGCACAAGCGGUGGAUGAUGUGGAUUAAUUCGAUGCAACGCGAACAACCUUACCUACCCUUGACAUGUCCGGGAGCCUGCUGAGAGGCGGGUGUGCCUGAAAGGGAACCGGAACACAGGUGCUGCAUGGCUGUCGUCAGCUCGUGUCGUGAGAUGUUGGGUUAAGUCCCGCAACGAGCGCAACCCUUGUCCCUAGUUGCUACGCAAGGGCACUCUAGGGAGACUGCCGGUGACAAACCGGAGGAAGGUGGGGAUGACGUCAAGUCCUCAUGGCCCUUAUGGGUAGGGCUUCACACGUCAUACAAUGGCCGGUACAGAGGGUUGCCAACCCGCGAGGGGGAGCCAAUCCCAGAAAGCCGGUCGUAGUCCGGAUUGCAGUCUGCAACUCGACUGCAUGAAGUCGGAAUCGCUAGUAAUCGCGGAUCAGCAUGUCGCGGUGAAUACGUUCCCGGGUCUU
rnacentral:rRNA from 1 species